UGGAAGCUGUUGGGGUUGAUUAUAUCGAUGAGAGUGAGAUUCUUGCUAUAGCGGAUGAAGACAACUUCAUUAACAAGCAUAACUUCAGGUGUCCAUUCAUUUGCGGGUGUCAAAAUCUGGGGGAAGCGUUGAGGAGAGUGAGGGAAGGUGGAGCGAUGAUAAGGAUUCAAGGGGAGGUAUUAGGCCAUGGAAACAUUGCUGAGACAGUGAGGAAUGUGAGAAAUGUGAUGAAAGAGAUGAGGGUUUUGAACAACAUGGAUGAAGAUGAGGUGUUUGCAUUUGCUAAAAAUAUAGCUGCACCUUAUGAUCUUGUGGCACAGACUAAGCAAAUGGGAAGGCUGCCUGUGGUGCAGUUUGCUGCUGGAGGGAUUGUGACCCCUGCAGAUGCAGCACUAAUGAUGCAAUUGGGUUGUGAUGGAAUUUUUGUGGGGAAUGAAGUUUUUGAUUGUGCUGAUCCAUAUAAGCGAGUGAGG
rnacentral:misc_RNA from 1 species